ACUCAAAUGAAUUGACGGGGACCCGCACAAGCGGUGGAACAUGUGGUUUAAUUCGAGGCAACGCGAAGAACCUUACCAGGGUUUGACAUGCUCUUUAUAGGAUCCCCAAAAGGAUCCGUCAGUUCGGCUGGAAGAUGCACAGGUGCUGCAUGGCUGUCGUCAGCUCGUGUCGUGAGAUGUUGGGUUAAGUCCCGCAACGAGCGCAACCCUCAUCCUCUGUUGCUAACGCGUAAUGGCGAGAACUCUGAGGAAACUGCCGGUGAUAAGCCGGAGGAAGGUGGGGAUGACGUCAAGUCCUCAUGGCCCUUACACCCUGGGCUACACACGUGUUACAAUGGCAGUGACAAUGGGCAGCGAAACCGCAAGGUCGAGCGAAUCCCCAAAAGCUGCCUCAGUUUGGAUUGUACUCUGCAACUCGAGUGCAUGAAAUUGGAAUCGCUAGUAAUCGUAGAUCAGCACGCUACGGUGAAUACGUUCCCGGGUCUUGCACACACCGCCCGU
rnacentral:rRNA from 1 species